rnacentral:rRNA from 1 species
UCGAGAAUCUUUCGCAAUGGGCGAAAGCCUGACCCAGCAACGCCGCGUGAAGGAUGAAGUAUUUCGGUAUGUAAACUUCGUAAGAAUAGGAAGAAUAAAUGACGGUACUAUUUGUAAGGUCCGGCUAACUACGUGCCAGCAGCCGCGGUAAUACGUAGGGACCAAGCGUUGUUCGGAUUUACUGGGCGUAAAGGGCGCGUAGGCGGCAUGACAAGUCACUUGUGAAAUCUCUGGGCUUAACCCAGAACGGCCAAGUGAUACUGUCGCGCUAGAGUGCAGAAGGGGCAAUCGGAAUUCUUGGUGUAGCGGUGAAAUGCGUAGAUAUCAAGAGGAACACCUGAGGUGAAGACGGGUUGCUGGGCUGACACUGACGCUGAGGCGCGAAAGCCAGGGGAGCAAACGGGAUUAGAUACCCGUGUAGUCCCUGAG